AUCAGAACAGACAGGUGAAGUUGACCAGGUGAAAAUUCAACUAGGAGAGUCCACCUGCAUCUAAAGGGACAGGAGCUUCUCAUUUCCAGCCACUUGUUGCCACUCAGGAAUGUGGUUCCUGUGUUGCUAGGGUUUUCAGUUUUUUAAGAGGAAUGGAAAAUCUGGAUGUUUAUAUGAAAUCUGAUCUUUUAAUGUUUGUAAAUUAAAUUUUAAAAGAAAAAAAACGUGAAGUCAAACUGAGUAUGUUUGCAGGUCAGGUUCAGCUGUGCUAACUUUUGUGGCAUUGCAGUGAUGUUCAAACUAGUAGAGCUCUUUCUUCUAAGUCUUGUGUCAAAGCUGAAUAUCUGUAAUGAGCAAAACAGAGCUGCUCUAGAGGAAACAGGUUUGGAGGUUCUGGAAUCACCCGCUCAGCCCUAACUACCAUUUUCCAAGGAGCCCCCGAGCCGCUGUUUGCUGCACACCACUGCUGGGAAGGUGAAACCAAAGUCUGCCUGGUUUUGAGGAACACGUUCUCAAAUCACAUGUCACAUAUGUUUUUCAAUUAAAAGUAAAGUUGAAAUAAUAUCAAAUUCUUGUGAGAAGCAGGAAGCAUUCCUUAAAACCUUAAUAUUGUUAUUCUAAAAGGAAAAGAGCAAUCCUCCCUUCCUGAAGAAGUUAAAUUUAGUGCCAAGAAAAAAUGUAGUCUUAUAUAUCACUUUUCCCCACUACAAUGAAUUACAAAAUAAUAAUUAAAGCAGUCAUGGUCAGAAAACCGAAGGGCUACAAAGAAAUGCACGUCUUAUCCCACUCUCAGUUCUGCUCCCCAGAAGCAAACAUCUGCAGCUGCUGCAGGUUUUGUAUUUGGGGUAUUUACUUCCGUACUAAAUAAAAUGCUUAUUGUUUGUGCAGUGUUUCUUGACUUAUCAACUUGCUAUAAUAGCUGUUGGCUUCCUGCUAAGAAAAAUGAAGAUUUAACUCAAACCCCUCCCCCUCAUAUAGUUUGAGCACUUUUUUCCCCCCCACUUGGUUGUAACAUUAAAGGCUUAACAUAAACCUCCGUCUCUUAUUCCUUAAGUUAUCUGAUGUUUAACUGUUUUCUCUAUUAGUAAUUUGUUCAACUGCAAGUAACAGGAAAUUCCACAAAUAAUAGUGGCUUGAACAAAAAAAGGGUAUGUGUGUUUCUCUACAAAGGAAGUCUAAAAGUGGGCACCUGCUGGUGUUGAUGCGGUUACUAAACAGUUCCUCAGAAAGCUGGUUUUUGUCCCCAUGCUCAUUGCCUCAGGGUCACAAGAUGACUGUCACAGCUGAGGAUGACUCCUCUGUUUAUAAGCAAGGAAGGAGAGUGGAGGUCCCCGUCCUAUCUGUUCCCUUUUAGCAGAAAAGCAAAAGCUUUCUCAGAAACCACCGUAGACUUUUGCUUCUGCUUGCUUACGUCUCAUUGGCCAAAGCGGUGUCACCCAGGUGUACGGAAGUCUGGAAAAGCAGGUAUGAAGGUGGGCACGUGGCUGCCUUGAGUCAAAGUGAGUUUUUGUUAGGGGAGAAAGGAGAAAGGGACGUUGGGUAGGAAACUGUCAGCGCCAACCGCGUACUUCUCAUGGGGCUUUAUGUAGAGGGCACCGGCUGCUGCUGUGGCUGGUGCUGUCGGCACCGUUUCUACAGUAAAAUAGCCUUGGAUCUGGACGGCCUUUUUAAAGCCAACUUUUGAUGCAAAGCCAUUAAAGCACCGUUUGGUGAAAUAGUUCUGUGAGGGCGUAGGCUGCUGUACUCUUAUGUAUAUAUUCUUUAAUGUGAUUUGGGGGUUGGAUUUAGGAUAUUUAGAGCUACACCCUCAAGAGUUCUCUUGAGGUGGUGCCACCCCCAAGGGAGGGUGUUUUUGUAAAUGUGUUAAUCAUUGGUUAGCAGGAUGAUUGGUUAUUUCAGUGGGUGGAGGCUAGGGAUGCCUGGAGCUUGUAGCACGUAGGACAGUCCUGUACAACCCCAAAUUGUCCUACAUCUCUAUAGCUUCCAUGUGUCCCAUGAAAAUUAUGUACAUGACAGUCCUGCUAUAAAGAGAAAGGAAAAGCAACCCCUGACAGCUGUCAGCUGGAGGCUGACCUGGCCCUUACAGCUAGGCUCUGGUGUUCUCUUUGAACAUGAGUAAUUCUCUACGACACCAACAUCUGACAAGGCUGCUCUGUGACCAUGAGGCAGCAAGACAAAAAUGAGGACGCUUUGUAGUUGUGUUGGAGCAUAGAAACAAGAAUACCGUGCAAACCACAAAACAUGAACAAACACCCCCUCUCCUGGCUUAUGUGGAGACUGCUGCAGCUCUGCUGAGUAUGGUCUUAGACCACUCUGUUCUUCCUACCACCUAGAUGAAAAUUACUAAGGUACCUACUCAGAAUUGCUUUGCCUUCUGAAAGCACCCAAUCUGGAGUAAAACUAUGGGUCACGGAACCCUGCUUGAAAUCCCCUAACACAGGCCCAAAUUCUCUGAUAAGCCCGUCCUAGCGCCCUUGUACUGAGACACCCCACGGUGUGUGGUCUUCCUUGUGCGAAAAGUGCUAAUAAACCCACUUUGGUUCAACCACACUUCUGUUCCGCAUGGUGUCUAGCUGGUGAGCACUGACACUGAUUAAUAAUUAUCUGAGCUUAGACUGUAAGUCCUUUUUUGUUGCAGAUUUGCAGCACUUGACUUAUCCAAAAACACAACUAUCAAGUGAAGGAAAGUUGUACUCUUUUCAGUACCUUACAAAGUGUCUCAGCAGUUUGAAAACUGUCACCAGUUUUCAUGUCAGUGUUGGUCAUGGCAUUUGAAUUGCAAGUUAAAACCGCUGCAGCUGCAUUAGUCUGCUUUGUAGUGGCCACAUAUACGGGAAUUAUAUGUAUAUUUGCGAGCACCCGACUAUGUGUCUCAUGCAUGUGCAGGAUUUGCAUGCCCAGGAAAGACCCGAAAAGGCCCUCAUCUCUCGAUGGUCUUGAGGCUCUGCACAGACAGGAAAUAAAGGCUUAGGUGGAGUUGUAAACUUCCGGAGUGUUGAAGGUGUACCCCAAUACACAUGAGCCCCUCAGCCAAAGGCAGAAGACUUAUUUCAGGUGCUUAAGGAAAUAUCCGCCCGAUUAUUAGCUGAAGAUGGAGCUUAACUGAGUAGAGAUUUCAGUGGCUACACGUGACAAAGAGUACGGAUUUACAGAAUUAGUUCUGGAAAGUCACUAAAAAGCCUGCAGCCACCACCACAAUAAGCAUUAAAGGGAAGGGGCCACAAAUCUGGUUUCCAGAGUCGCCACCUUAUAUUACUGAAAUCGUCCAGUUUUC
rnacentral:lncRNA from 1 species